AGUAACGGCGAGUGAAGCGGCAACAGCUCAAAUUUGAAAUCUGGCCUCGGCCCGAGUUGUAAUUUGCAGAGGAUGCUUCUGGCGCGGCGCCUUCCGAGUUCCCUGGAACGGGACGCCACAGAGGGUGAGAGCCCCGUAUGGUCGGACUGCCUAGCCAGUGUGAAGCUCCUUCGAAGAGUCGAGUAGUUUGGGAAUGCUGCUCAAAGCGGGAGGUAUACGUCUUCUAAAGCUAAAUACCGGCCAGAGACCGAUAGCGCACAAGUAGAGUGAUCGAAAGAUGAAAAGCACCUUGAAAAGGGGGUUAAACAGUACGUGAAAUUGUUGAAAGGGAAGCGCCUGUGACCAGACUUGCGCCGGGCGGAUCAUCCAGCGUUCUCGCUGGUGCGCUCCGCCCGGCACAGGCCAGCAUCGGUUCUGGCGGGGGGAUAAAGGCGGCGGGAAUGUGGCUCCCUCGGGAGUGUUAUAGCCCGCCGCUCAAUGCCCCCGCUGGGACCGAGGACCGCGCUUCGGCAAGGAUGCUGGCGUAAUGGUCACCAGCGACCCGUCUUGAAACACGGACCAAGGAGUCGUCCAUUACGGCGAGCGUUUGGGUGUAAAACCCCUGCGCGGAAUGAAAGUGAACGCAGGUGAGAGCUUCGGCGCAUCAUCGACCGAUCCUGAUGUUCUCGGAUGGAUUUGAGUAAGAGUCGUAACGGACGGACCCGAAAGAUGGUGAACUAUGCCUGUAUAGGGUGAAGCCAGAGGAAACUCUGGUGGAGGCUCGCAGCGGUUCUGACGUGCAAAUCGAUCGUCAAAUGUGGGCAUGGGGGCGAAAGACUAAUCGAACCAUCUAGUAGCUGGUUACCGCCGAAGUUUCCCUCAGGAUAGCAGUGUUGUUCUUCAGUUUUAUGAGGUAAAGCGAAUGAUUAGGGACUCGGGGGCGCUCUUCAGCCUUCAUCCAUUCUCAAACUUUAAAUAUGUAAGAAGCCCUUGUU
rnacentral:rRNA from 1 species